rnacentral:rRNA from 1 species
UACAGAGGUCCCAAGCGUUGUUCGGAUUCACUGGGCGUAAAGGGUGCGUAGGUGGCCAGGUAAGUUCGAUGUGAAAUCUCCGGGCUUAACCCGGAAAGUGCAUUGAAUACUAUCUGGCUAGAGGGUUGGAGGGGGGACUGGAAUUCUCGGUGUAGCAGUGAAAUGCGUAGAUAUCAAGAGGAACACCAGUGGCGAAGGCGAGUCCCUGGACAACACCUGACACUGAGGCACGAAAGCUAGGGGAGCAAACAGG